UGGGGAAUAUUGGGCAAUGGGCGCAAGCCGGACCCAGCAACGCCGCGUGAAGGAAGAAGGCUUUCGGGUUGUAAACUUCUUUUCUCAGGGACGAAGCAAGUGACGGUACCUGAGGAAUAAGCCACGGCUAACUACGUGCC
rnacentral:rRNA from 1 species